AUUCUGUGAUGGGGACACUUCCUCAACAGUGACUUAAAUUGACCCCAAGCUUCAUACAAAUUCUCGCCUUCGAAUUGCUUGAAAUUAGCGAUAUCAUGUCAAAGCUU
rfam:Gossypium arboreum cultivar AKA8401 contig_13424_3, whole genome shotgun sequence.